AUCACUUCUCAGCCUUUUGGCUAAUAUCAAGUGUAAUAUCUGUUCUUAUCAGUUAAAUAUCUGAUAUGUCUUCUAUCUGAGGACAUUAUAUUAAAUGGAUUUUUGGAGCUUGGAGUUGGAAUAGGAGCUUACUCCAUCCACUCCAUGCAUCGACCUGGUAUUGCUGUACUUCCAGGAAUGGUGCACCCCCU
rnacentral:snRNA from 1 species